CGUAGGAGGCAAGCGUUAUCCGGAUUCACUGGGCGUAAAGCGCGUGCAGGUGGCGCGGUAAGUUGGGUGUGAAAUCUCCCGGCUCAACUGGGAGAGGUCAUUCAAUACUACCGUGCUUGAGAGCAGAAGAGGAAGAUGGAAUUCCCGGUGUAGUGGUGAAAUGCGUAGAUAUCGGGAGGAACACCAGUGGCGAAGGCGAUCUUCUGGUCUGUUUCUGACACUCAGACGCGACAGCUAGGGUAGUAAACGGGAUUAGAGACCCCGGUAAUCCUAGCCGUAAACGAUGUGAACUUGGCGUUGGUGGGUUAAACUCCAUCAGUGCCGUAGCAAACGCGAUAAGUUCACCGCCUGGGGACUACGGCCGCAAGGUUA
rnacentral:rRNA from 1 species